rnacentral:rRNA from 1 species
UACAGAGGUCCCAAGCGUUGUUCGGAUUCACUGGGCGUAAAGGGUGCGUAGGUGGCGAGGUAAGUCGGAUGUGAAAUCUCCGAGCUCAACUCGGAAAUGGCAUUGGAAACUACCUUGCUUGAGGGUCGGAGGGGGGACUGGAAUACUUGGUGUAGCAGUGAAAUGCGUAGAUAUCAAGUGGAACACCAGUGGCGAAGGCGAGUCCCUGGACGACUCCUGACACUGAGGCACGAAAGCUAGGGGAGCGAACGGG